GGAAGCGUACCAAAGUGGCUGAAUGGGCCGCACUCGAAAUGCGGUAUGCUCGCAAGAGCAUCGGAGGUUCAAAUCCUCCCGCUUCCG
rnacentral:tRNA from 1 species